GUUCGUGUUCGUGUGUGUGUGUGCGUGACAGGUGUGUGUACACUUUCGAAAUUCCAGAAAUUCUUGCGUCAAGUAGCCGCCGUUACUUAUCAAUCGUCGACCAGCCCAGCGACGAGUGCUCAAAAUAAUUGUCAAUGGGCCGCAUUCAUUCGUGGCAUUACAAAUUUACACCUGGCGCCCCAGUUACGGGGAACUUUGAUGAUGCAGUUGGCUUAUCAACAGACUACGGCACAAAGCAAACCAACUGUACAACAUUCGAAGUACUUUCAUGUCCAGAAACAGUCACAUUUUGGUACGCAUCACCUGCACCAAUUGCCACAUGACGUGUGUUUUUUUUUUGCUGUAAUUCCCCAAACGAUUUAUUUCCAGAAUUCUUCAAAUCAUAUGUCAUUUGCAGUUAUAAAAAACAAUAACGAGCAGCUGAUAUUCGUAAGACUAAAUUAUUUAUAAAUAUUCCUAUGACAGGCUAGGCUAGAGUGGAUAAUAAUAAUGUAUGGGUAACUGGGAGAAUUUGGAGAAAACAUUUCUAGAACAGAACUUGAAACAAACAGGAACAAAAUGGGAACAAAUGGAAUAAUUUACAAGAACUCUAUAAAACUAAGCAAAUGUACGAUUUACUAACUGUUUUGUUUUUUCUUUAAAGAAUUUGCUUGUUCAGAACUAUUCUAGAAUUUAUCUCAACCACCUUGACAAGCUUAUAAGCCCAUCAUUUUGAUGCCUUUCCCAACUUUUAUCAUGGGAAAUUUAUGUUAAUUCUUAGAUCUUAAAAUGCUGCCAUUAGUUUUCACACUAAUCUUCUAUCGAAUUAGACAUUGUCACACAAAUUUCGUCAAUCGUUUGGCAUUUUUUUCUCUUCUUUUUCUCCAAUACCCUUUCCCCCUCGGGGGCUGUGCAUUUGGUAUUCAUGUCAUGCCGCUGCCCCGGCAACUAUAAAUAACGCCUAUUUUAAAUUUAAAGAGUAAUGCCUAUGGAAUUUCCUAUAAAUACCUUCAUGACGAAUACAAAAAAAAAACAACAACAACAAAAUAUAUACAGCUUUUGCCCCCCACCCCGCAGCAGUAUAUGUUGUGCUUUGGUUUUUUUCCUUGUAAAUGACCUCGUUCACAAAAAGUUCAGAAAUUCCAUUUACAAACAUGUAAUUGAAAAAGACCAUACACACACACACUCACACACACACACACACACGCGAGCACUGACAAAGUCAAACACGUUGGAAUUUGUUUUUACCGUUCAAUGGCGAAUUUCGGUUAGUGUGCGUGUGUGUGUGUGUGUGUUGUUUACGCAAAAGAACGCCACCAGCUACAGCAACAUAAAAAACGUAGCUCCGCACAUACGUUACAUGCAUAAAUACAUACACAAACAUAUAAACAUUCCAAAAGCACUUACGAAAACCACACACACACACACACACACUCGCACACACACGCAUAAAAGCAACAACAAUAACAAACCUUUCGUAGAUUACAACAUUACAAAAAACCAACGAGGCAAAAACUAAAAACUAAAGAAAAAAAAAAGACGAAGCUGAAGAAUCCAAUGAGCAGCAAAAUUCCGACUCAAAGAGACAUUGACUUGUGCUUGGGACAAGAGGCUAAAGUAGCGCAUUGCUUGGACGCGGCAACAGUAACAGAUACAGAUACAAAGAUACUUUUGUAACUUGGCUGCGGGCAGAGCGUCAGGCAGAGGAGCAGCGCAGCGCAGGGGGCUACGGUGCGGUGCGGUGCGGUGUCAGCUCAGUUGUGGAAUGCCGUUCUGUAAGUUUCAUAUGCAUGUGACCCAAACAUCAUCGUGGAGUAGUUCAGUUUGUAUCGAAACUUUCUAGCACACACACACACACACACACACACACGUACACACACAAAGAUACACACGUACAUAUACAGCGACAGAUACAUCACACAAGCGACUACUUUCGAAACAACAACAACAACAGCAACAGCAACAUUUCCGAAGUGCUGCCUCUGCUGGCGUCACUGCCAACGUCGCUGCGCGCUGCCUCUGCCCGCGCGCUGCCAGCGCAGCGAUCCGCCCGAAGAUCGCAGGAAAGAAAAGACAUGUUUUCAUUCAGUGAAUUUUUGUAGCUACAGCCGCAUGGUCGUUGCCGAGCUGCGCGCGGACGUUUCGCUUGCAGACUUCGUUGAUUUUGUGAGAGCGGAUGUAACAACAAGAACAACAAAAACAGUGUGAAAAAAGUUAUGUUAAAUUAAAAGGCUUGUCAGCAAGGAGCUACCCAAAACGGAGCAGACGACAAACAUGGGCUGCGCCACACACACUCACACACACACACACGCAAAACAAACAUACAGACAGACACUAAUGCAUACAUAUGUACAUACACACGUAUGUACAUAUGAAACUUGGGCGACCGCAUUCCAGAAAGUUCAAAUAACGAUUUGGUGGACACAAGACAGCGGUGGGGAGAGCUGAAUUGGCCCACAGCAUAAACAGCGUGGAAAAAUUAAAGUUAAAGAAUUCUGCCCGUCCAUGUACAUGUAUGUGAGUGCGAGUGUGAGUGUGCGUGUGCCUGUAUGUAUGUGUGUGGCUUGAGCUUGGCGUGCCUGUAUUGGUUGUAGCAUGGAAUGCGGUCUCGUUCAACUAUGAGAAGAACUAAGCCAAAUAGAACUUGCGCUUCAAAAGUGAGUAAUAAUAAAAAACUAUAUAUGAGAAAGAAAAAUGUGUCCAGAAACUGGUUUCUGUUGGCCAAGACUUUGUGUCGUCGUCUUGCGAGUGCUGCUGCUGCCGCUGCUGCUGCUGCUGCUGCAUGGGACAUCCAUUGACAUCUAAGGAGCUCUUUGAUUCUAAACUCCAAGACAAGCCACAUGGCCGAUAAUAAAGGGAGCAUUCGCAGUCGCAGCGGCAGAGCCAAGAGUGGAGUGGAGUGGGCACUACCUAUCAUAAUUGCAAUCGCUGGACUCGGCGCUGCGGCUGUUGGGUAUCGUGGUCUUCCAACGCCAAACUAAAGUUGCAUCACUCAGCAAAAGGCAAAACGAAGAAAAGUCAACCACCAGCAUAGAAUGCGGGCUGGUAACAACAACAACAGCAACAACGGCAGAGAGAGAGCAACAGGAACAGCAACAGCAAAAACAACAACAGAACAAACAGGGCAGGCGGCAGGCAAGCAGAACCAGAAAACCGACGCCAAACCGUUUUACAAGAACAGCAAGACGAAAGAGGGCGAGCGAAAGAAGGCAGCCAAGGAAAAAGCAACGGCGUCUGCUGGCAGACAGGGAUAGACGCCAAAGUCCAAGUGUGCAGCCGCAGUCGCCGUCGCAGCCGCAGCCGAAAAGGUCGCACACAUGCAGCGGGCUAACGGACAACGGCAAACUGAUCCCGUUUGUAGUUCUUGUUGCUGUUCUUGGACGUAAAAAGCAAUAAUGUCAGCAAAAAAAAAAUGCCAAAGAACGCCAACGGCGAAACGUUGGCG